UACGGGGGGAGCAAGCGUUGUUCGGAUUUACUGGGCGUAAAGGGCGCGUAGGCGGCUUGGCAAGUCGGGUGUGAAACCUCCAGGCUCAACCUGGAGACGCCACUCGAUACUGCCAUGGCUAGAGUCCGGUAGGGGACCACGGAAUUCCUGGUGUAGCGGUGAAAUGCGCAGAUAUCAGGAGGAACACCGGUGGCGAAGGCGGUGGUCUGGGCCGGCACUGACGCUGAGGAGCGAAAGCGUGGGUAGCAAACAGG
rnacentral:rRNA from 1 species